rnacentral:rRNA from 1 species
GACUACCGGGGUAUCUAAUCCUGUUCGAUCCCCACGCUUUCGUGCAUCAGCGUCAGUAAUGGCCCAGUAAGCUGCCUUCGCAAUCGGUGUUCUGUGUAAUAUCUAAGCAUUUCACCGCUACAUUACACAUUCCGCCUACCUUGACCAUACUCAAGACUGACAGUAUCAACGGCAAGUCUACAGUUAAGCUGCAGGUUUUCACCACUGACUUAUCUAUCCGCCUACGCACCCUUUAAACCCAAUAAAUCCGGAUAACGCUCGCAUCCUCCGUAUUACCGCGGCUGCUGGCACGGAGUUAGCCGAUGCUUAUUCCCAGGGUACCGUCAAUUCCUGUCACGACAGAAAAAUUCUCCCCCUGGAAAAGCAGUUUACAACCCAUAGGGCCGUCUUCCUGCACGCGGGAUGGCUGGUUCAGGCUUGCGCCCAUUGACCAAUAUUCCUCACUGCAGCCGCCCGUAGG